rnacentral:tRNA from 1 species
CGGGGCGUAGCGCAGCCAGGUAGCGCACUUGAAUGGGGUUCAAGUGGUCCGCGGUUCAAAUCCGCGCGCCCCGACUA